GUACACUCCUACGGGAGGCAGCAGUGGGGAAUUUUGGACAAUGGGCGAAAGCCUGAUCCAGCAAUGCCGCGUGAGUGAAGAAGGCCUUCGGGUUGUAAAGCUCUUUUGUCAGGGAAGAAACGGUGAAAGCUAAUAUCUUUUGCUAAUGACGGUACCUGAAGAAUAAGCACCGGCUAACUACGUGCCAGCAGCCGCGGUAAUACGUAGGGUGCAAGCGUUAAUCGGAAUUACUGGGCGUAAAGCGUGCGCAGGCGGUUUUGUAAGUCUGAUGUGAAAUCCCCGGGCUCAACCUGGGAAUUGCAUUGGAGACUGCAAGGCUAGAAUCUGGCAGAGGGGGGUAGAAUUCCACGUGUAGCAGUGAAAUGCGUAGAUAUGUGGAGGAACACCGAUGGCGAAGGCAGCCCCCUGGGUCAAGAUUGACGCUCAUGCACGAAAGCGUGGGGAGCAAACAGGAUUAGAAACCCCUGUAGUCCC
rnacentral:rRNA from 1 species